rnacentral:rRNA from 1 species
GACGUAGGGUGCAAGCGUUGUCCGGAAUUAUUGGGCGUAAAGAGCUCGUAGGCGGUCUGUCGCGUCUGCUGUGAAAAACCUAGGGCUUAACUCUGGGCGUGCAGUGGGUACGGGCAGGCUAGAGUGCGGUAGGGGAGACUGGAAUCCUGGUGUAGCGGUGAAAUGCGCAGAUAUCAGGAAGAACACCCGUGGCGAAGGCGGUCUCUGGGACGGUACUGACGCUGAGACGCGAAAGCGUGGGGGAGCGAACAGG